AACUUUUGGCUAUGGAUCUCUUGGUUCUGGCAUCGAUGAAGAACGCAGCGAAAUGCGAUAAGUAAUGUGAAUUGCAGAAUUCAGUGAAUCAUCGAAUCUUUGAACGCACAUUGCGCCCCUUGGUAUUCCGAGGGGCAUGCCUGUCCGAGCGUCAUUUCAACCCUCAAGCACAGCUUGGUCUUGGGCUUCGCUGCUAACCCAGCGGGUCUUAAAAUCAGUGGCGGUGCCGUCGGGCCCUGAGCGCAGUAAUUCUUCUCGCUAUAGGGUCCCGGUGGAUACUGGCCAUCAACCCCCAAUCUUCAAUGGUUGACCUCGGAUCAGGUAGGGAUACCCGCUGAACUUAAGCAUAUCAAUAAGCGGAGGCU
rnacentral:misc_RNA from 1 species